UACGUAGGGUGCGAGCGUUGUCCGGAAUUAUUGGGCGUAAAGGGCUCGUAGGCGGUCUGUCGCGUCGGGAGUGAAAACUCAGGGCUUAACCCUGAGCCUGCUUCCGAUACGGGCAGGCUCGAGUUCGGUAGGGGAGACUGGAAUUCCUGGUGUAGCGGUGAAAUGCGCAGAUAUCAGGAGGAACACCGGUGGCGAAGGCGGGUCUCUGGGCCGAUACUGACGCUGAGGAGCGAAAGCGUGGGGAGCAAACAGG
rnacentral:rRNA from 1 species